GCCUACAUGGUGUAGUGGUUUGAGACUUAGACUAUGACUCUGGAGACCAGGGUUUGAAUCCCUGCUCAGCCA